GUGGGGAAUUUUGGACAAUGGGCGAAAGCCUGAUCCAGCCAUGCCGCGUGCAGGAUGAAGGCCUUCGGGUUGUAAACUGCUUUUGUACGGAACGAAAAGACUCUGGUUAAUACCUGGGGUCCAUGACGGUACCGUAAGAAUAAGCACCGGCUAACUACGUGCCAGCAGUCGCGGUAAUACGUAGGGUGCAAGCGUUAAUCGGAAUUACUGGGCGUAAAGCGUGCGCAGGCGGUCAUAUAAGACAGAUGUGAAAUCCCCGGGCUCAACCUGGGAACUGCAUUUGUGACUGUAUAGCUAGAGUACGGCAGAGGGGGAUGGAAUUCCGCGUGUAGCAGUGAAAUGCGUAGAUAUGCGGAGGAACACCGAUGGCGAAGGCAAUCCCCUGGGCCUGUACUGACGCUCAUGCACGAAAGCGUGGGGAGCAAACAGGAUUAGAAACCCUAGUAGUCC
rnacentral:rRNA from 1 species